CGGAGCCCGGCACUUACCUGGCGCUGCCUCCCGGCCGCUCCGGCGGUCCCGCGCCGCGCGCCCGAUCACCACGGGGUGUUUUGGGGUUGUUUGUUUUUUUUUUUAGAAAGCCCAGAAGCGAAGCGUCCCUUCCUCCAGGUAUGUAUAUAAGUUACUGUACUGUGUGGGAGGGUCACGAUCUCGCUAGGUGCAGAAGAUUCCCCGGGAUUAACCCCUCCUCUCCCUUCCCCUCCUGCAACUUGUUGAGGAUGGCACCGCGCGCGCACGCGGAGCGGCACACGGCCGCACGCACACACACGCGGAGCGCGGCGCGGGAGCGGUCCGGUGCCCCCGACGGCGCGGUGAUUGGCCGCGCUGCUCGUGGAGAAGGGGACGUCUCAAGUCGAAGUCACGAUUUCUCCUCAGUUUGGAACCAUCUGUGACUGGAGCCAUGACGCAGCCAGAGCACAUUACUCACUUUUACAGUCACGACUUGGAAAUCCGUGCAGUUUCCAACCAAAAUUACACCGCCACCAUUGAAUUAUUUAAUAGGAUCCAGUUAAGGGGUGAUUCCCCUUUCUGCAAGAAUUCCCUGUCUCCGGGCUCCGUGCAUGCAGCAAAUGCGUUAUGGAGACGAGCGGAGCCCCCUCGCCUUAAAGAAAAGUAGAAAGGGAGCAAAACGGAGGGAUCCGAGCAUGCAGAAAGGAAAGACGAGACUCACGGCCGCUGGCUGCAGCAUGCACAGGAAAGAUCGCUACUUACCGAGCGGGAACUCCUCGGACAGGAGUUGGAAAAAAAUACUGCGGUGAUGUCCAGGUUUUCUUCCACCCGCGCUCGCUUUUUAUACAAGUGCAACCCUCUGUCUAUUUCUGGAACGCGAUCAAAACCCUGAUGCUAUUUUUAGCAGUGUCUUUGUAAAGUGGGCUUGGGAGAAAACACAACAACCACCAUGCACCACUUGGCCAUUGUGCACAAACGUGGGUUUCAGGCGGGGAUGCUUUGCCGGGAGACUGAGGUGGCUCCAUACGGUGAAUUGCACCCAGCACAAAGAAGGGCUGCUGGGGUUUUUUGUUUUUUUUUUUUUUGUUUUUUUAAUUCUCUCCUCGCCCCCUGCCUUUCUCCCCCUUAAAAAAAUACCAUCCUUUG
rnacentral:lncRNA from 1 species